UUGACCUCGGAUCAGGUAGGAAUACCCGCUGAACUUAAGCAUAUCAAUAAGCGGAGGAU
rnacentral:rRNA from 1 species